rnacentral:rRNA from 1 species
UACGUAGGGUGCAAGCGUUGUCCGGAAUUAUUGGGCGUAAAGAGCUCGUAGGCGGUCUGUCGCGUCUGCUGUGAAAACUCAGGGCUUAACCCUGAGCUUGCAGUGGGUACGGGCAGACUAGAGUGCGGUAGGGGAGACUGGAAUUCCUGGUGUAGCGGUGAAAUGCGCAGAUAUCAGGAGGAACACCGGUGGCGAAGGCGGCUAUCUGGACAGAAACUGACGCUGAGGCGCGAAAGCUAGGGGAGCAAACAGG